GUCUUCAUGGUGUAAUGGUCAGCACGCUCGGCGCGUAUUCGGGAGGUCCUUGGUUCGAGUCCUGGUGAAGGCU
rnacentral:tRNA from 1 species